GCUAAAUACGCAUUCACUUUGAAACAACCCGAUUAUAUAUUAAUUUGUGCAUAACCUCAUUUCAGGGCAAUUUCUUGCUUGUGACCUGAGUCCACCUUAGUCUUUCCCUUGCUCUGCACUCCAAGAACAACACCUCAGACUCAUAUACUAAACCCAAACCCCAAACUCGUUCAUCUUGUUUCCCACACCUACCAAAACAAAGAAAAAGAAAAUGUCCAUACAACCACAACAACAGCCUGUUGUCGUUUACCCCAACACCGUUACUGGGCAGCCACCACCGGCUUUCCACUCUCACGCAAAUGGAUCAUUUGGGACUGUUUUUAUAGUUCUUGCCAUGAUUAGUGUUAUAUCAGCUAUUGCUUGUUGCCUUGGCAGGCUCUGCAACAAGCGUACUCAAGGCAACGCACACAGUAAACCCAGUAAGCAGAGCCAGCCAAACCCUAAUGUUCGCCCCAAAGAAAGGGGAAAGGAGAGGGAGAGGGGAAGAGAAAGAGAAGGAGACCUUGAGUUUGGGUUUGAGAAGGGACUCCCAACAGGUAGGCCAGGUGGAAAUGGAGAUGGUAGA
rnacentral:misc_RNA from 1 species